rnacentral:rRNA from 1 species
UACGUAGGGUGCAAGCGUUAUCCGGAAUUAUUGGGCGUAAAGAGCUCGUAGGCGGUUUGUCGCGUCUGCCGUGAAAGUCCGGGGCUCAACUCCGGAUCUGCGGUGGGUACGGGCAGACUAGAGUGAUGUAGGGGGAGACUGGAAUUCCUGGUGUAGCGGUGAAAUGCGCAGAUAUCAGGAGGAACACCGAUGGCGAAGGCAGGUCUCUGGGCAUUAACUGACGCUGAGGAGCGAAAGCAUGGGGAGCGAAC